rnacentral:rRNA from 1 species
AUAAGGGCGCACGGUGGAUGCCUUGGCACUAGGAGCCGAUGAAGGACGGGACUAACACCGAUAUGCUUUGGGGAGCUGUACGUAAGCUAUGAUCCAGAGAUUUCCGAAUGGGGGAACCCAGCAUCUUUUAUAGGAUGUUACGUUUGCGUGAAUACAUAGCGCAUUCGAGGUAGACGCAGAGAACUGAAACAUCUAAGUACCUGCAGGAAGAGAAAGAAAAUUCGAUUCCCUGAGUAGCGGCGAGCGAAACGGGAAAAGCCCAAACCAAUGAGCUUGCUCAUUGGGGUUGUAGGACUCCAAUAUGGUAGUUCUUUCAGAUAGUCGAAUGACUUGGAAAAGUCAGUCAAAGAGGGUAAAAACCCCGUAGAUGAAAUUUGGAAGGCACCUAGGAGGAUCCUGAGUACGGCGGAACACGAGGAAUUCCGUCGGAAUCCGGGAGGACCAUCUCCCAAGGCUAAAUACUCCCUAGUGACCGAUAGUGAACCAGUACCGUGAGGGAAAGGUGAAAAGCACCCCGGAAGGGGAGUGAAAUAGAACCUGAAACCGUGUGCCUACAACAAGUCAAAGCCCGUUAAUGGGUGAUGGCGUGCCUUUUGUAGAAUGAACCGGCGAGUUACGAUUGCAUGCGAGGUUAAGUUGAAGAGACGGAGCCGCAGCGAAAGCGAGUCUGAAUAGGGCGUUUGAGUAUGUAGUCGUAGACCCGAAACCAUGUGAUCUACCCAUGUCCAGGUUGAAGGUGCGGUAAAACGCACUGGAGGACCGAACCCACGUACGUUGA